CAGCAGCCACGGGAAUACAGAGGGUGCAAGCGUUAAUCGGAAUUACUGGGCGUAAAGCGCGCGUAGGUGGUUCGCCAAGUUGGAUGUGAAAUCCCCGGGCUCAACCUGGGAACUGCAUCCAAAACUGGCGAGCUAGAGUAUGGUAGAGGGUGGUGGAAUUUCCUGUGUAGCGGUGAAAUGCGUAGAUAUAGGAAGGAACAUCAGUGGCGAAGGCGACCACCUGGACUGAUACUGACACUGAGGUGCGAAAGCGUGGGGAGCAAACAGGAUUAGAUACCCCUGUAGUCCCUGUCUCUUAUAC
rnacentral:rRNA from 1 species